GAGUUUGAUCCUGGCUCAGAAUGAACGUUAGCGGCGUGCCUGAUGCAUGCAAGUCGAACGCCCUGAUAGUUCGCAAGGGUUAUCAGGGAGUGGCGAACGGCUGAGUAACGCGUAAGUAACCUACCUUCAAGUGGGGAAUAACCUGCCGAAAGGCAAGCUAAUACCGCAUGUGCUAGCAAGUGAUUUAUAGCUUUUUAGUAAAGCCUGCGGGCGCUUGAAGAUGGGCUUGCGUCCGAUUAGCUAGUUGGUAGGGUAAUGGCCUACCAAGGCGAUGAUCGGUAGCUGGUCUGAGAGGACAACCAGCCAGACGGGGACUGAGACACGGCCCUGACUCCUACGGGAGGCAGCAGCAAGGAAUUUUGCGCAAUGGGCGAAAGCUUGACGCAGCAACGCCGCGUGGGGGAUGAAGGCCUUCGGGUCGUAAACCCCUUUUCUCGAGGAAGAAUAAUGACGGUACUCGGGGAAUAAGUCUUGGCUAACUACGUGCCAGCAGCCGCGGUAAUACGUAGAAGGCAAACGUUAUUCGGAUUUACUGGGCGUAAAGCGGGUGCAGACGGUUUCUUAAGUCGGAUGUGAAACCUCUUGACUCAAUCAAGAGGGGUCAUUCGAUACUGAGGAGCCUGAGGGCAGCAGAGGAAGGCGGAAUUCCCGGUGUAGCGGUGAAAUGCGUAGAUAUCGGGAGGAACACCAGUGGCGAAAGCGGCCUUCUGGGCUGUUCCUGACGUUGAGGCCCGAAAGCGUGGGGAGCGAAACGGAUUAGAUACCCGUGUAGUCCACGCCCUAAACUUUGGACACUAGGUAUGGGGAGUAUCGACCCUCUCCGUGCCGAAGCUAACGCCUUAAGUGUCCCGCCUGGGGACUACGGCCGCAAGGCUAAAACUCAAAGGAAUUGACGGGGGGCCCGCACAAGCAGCGGAGCGUGUGGUUUAAUUCGAUGCAACGCGAAGAACCUUACCAAGGCUUGACAUGUCGGAAGUAGGAACUCGAAAGAGGGACGAUCUGUAUCCAGUCAGGAGCCGAUACAGGUGCUGUAUGGCUGUCGUCAGCUCGUGCCGUGAGGUGUUGGGUUAAGUCCCGCAACGAGCGCAACCCUUGUCGCUAGUUACUUUCUCUAGCGAUACUGCCCGUAAAACGUGGAGGAAGGUGGGGAUGACGUCAAGUCAGCAUGGCCUUUAUGCCUUGGGCUACACACACGCUACAAUGGCUGAUACAACGGGUUGCAAAAGAGCGAUCUGGAGCUAAUCCCAAAAAUCAGCCUCAGUUCGGAUUGCAGGCUGAAACCGCGUGCAUGAAGUCGGAGUUGCUAGUAACCGCAGGUCAGCACACUGCGGUGAAUACGUUCUCGGGCCUUGUACACACCGCCCGUCACGUCAUGGGAGCCGGUAACACCUGAAGUCGAUGGGCUAACCUUCGGGAGGCAGUCGCCGAAGGUGGGACCGGUAACUGGGACGAAGUCGUAACAAGGUAACC
rnacentral:rRNA from 1 species